CCUACGGGUGGCAGCAGUGGGGAAUAUUGGACAAUGGGCGAAAGCCUGAUCCAGCCAUGCCGCGUGUGUGAAGAAGGUCUUCGGAUUGUAAAGCACUUUAAGUUGGGAGGAAGGGCAGUUACCUAAUACGUGAUUGUUUUGACGUUACCGACAGAAUAAGCACCGGCUAACUCUGUGCCAGCAGCCGCGGUAAUACAGAGGGUGCAAGCGUUAAUCGGAAUUACUGGGCGUAAAGCGCGCGUAGGUGGUUUGUUAAGUUGAAUGUGAAAUCCCCGGGCUCAACCUGGGAACUGCAUCCAAAACUGGCAAGCUAGAGUAUGGUAGAGGGUGGUGGAAUUUCCUGUGUAGCGGUGAAAUGCGUAGAUAUAGGAAGGAACACCAGUGGCGAAGGCGACCACCUGGACUGAUACUGACACUGAGGUGCGAAAGCGU
rnacentral:rRNA from 1 species